AUUGAACGCUGGCGGCAGGCCUAACACAUGCAAGUCGAACGAGUGGCGGACGGGUGAGUCAUGUCUGGGAAACUGCCUGCUGGAGGGGGAUAACUACUGGAAACGGUAGCUAAUACCGCAUACCAUCAGAUGUGCCCCGAUGGGCUUAGCUAGUUGGGGGGGUAAAGGCUCAACAAGGCGCCGAUCCCUAGCGGGGCUGAGAGGAUGACCAGCCACACUGGAACUGAGACACGGUCCAGACUCCUACGGGAGGCAGCAGUGGGGAAUAUGGCACAAUGGGCGCAAGCCGGAGGCAGCCAUGCCGCGUGUAUGAAGAAGGCCUUCGGGUUGUAAAGUACUUUCAUCGGGGAGGCGUUACCCGCAGAGGAAGCACCGGCUAACUCCGUGCCAGCAGCCGCGGUAAUUC
rnacentral:rRNA from 1 species